CGGAAGGCGGAAGGCGGAAGGCGGAGCGGUCCCUGCAACCCGGCUGGCGGGAACUGCCUUCUAGUUCUUAGUCUCGGAUUAGGAGACCCCCCGGGCGCGCCCCGAUGCCGAGCCCGCAGCUUCUGGUGCUCUUCGGCAGCCAGACGGGCACGGCUCAGGAUGUGUCGGAGAGACUGGGUCGCGAGGCCCGGCGCCGGCGGCUUGGCUGCCGGGUGCAGGCCCUGGACUCCUACCCGGUGGUGAAUCUGAUUAACGAGCCCCUGGUGAUAUUUGUUUGUGCAACUACAGGCCAAGGAGACCCGCCUGACAACAUGAAGAACUUCUGGAGGUUUAUAUUCCGGAAGAACCUGCCCUCCACUGCCCUCUGUCAGAUGGACUUUGCCAUCCUGGGCCUCGGGGACUCCUCAUACGCCAAGUUCAACUUCGUGGCCAAGAAGUUGCACCGACGGCUACUGCAGCUUGGGGGCAGUGCCCUCCUGCCCGUGUGCCUGGGCGAUGACCAGCAUGAGCUGGGGCCCGACGCUGCUGUGGACCCCUGGCUGCGAGACUUGUGGGACAGGGUUCUGGGGCUGUACCCGCCGCCUCCGGGCCUCACCGAGAUCCCUCCCGGAGUCCCGAUGUUCGGCUGAUUGAGUUUGACAUCUCGGGCUCCAGCAUCAGGUAAGGCCUGAGCACAGCCCAAGACACCAAGCGGGCGGUGGGGACUGCUGGGGACCGAGGAGGGCAGGCUUUGCUGCUGGCGAUGUGGUGCUGAUUCAGCCCUCCAACUCGGCUGCCCACGUCCAGCAGUUCUGCCAGGUGCUGGGCCUGGACCCUGACCAGCUCUUCACACUGCAGCCGCGGGAGCCAGAUGUCUCCUCCCCCACGAGGCUGCCCCAGCCCUGCUCCAUGCGGCACCUCGUGUCCCACUACCUGGACAUCGCCAGCGUGCCUCGCCGCUCCUUCUUCGAACUCCUGGCCUGUCUAUCCCUCCAUGAGCUGGAGCGGGAGAAGCUGCUGGAGUUCAGUUCUGCCCAAGGCCAGGAGGAGCUCUUUGAAUACUGCAACCGGCCCCACAGGACCAUCCUGGAGGUGAGGUGGGCGGGCAGCAGGCCCAGCCCCUGAGCUACAGCCACGCUGCAGCCACCCUGAGACUCUCUUUGCCUAGGUGCUCUGUGACUUCCCACACACAGCUGCUGCCAUCCCUCCUGACUACCUAU
rnacentral:sRNA from 1 species